rnacentral:rRNA from 1 species
GUAGGCGGUUUAUCAAGCAAGGCAUGAAAUAGUGUGGCUCAACCAUACUGCUAUGUUUUGAACUGAUAGACUAGAGGAUGAGAGAGGUUAUUGGAAUUCCAAGUGUAGGAGUGAAAUCCGUAGAUAUUUGGAGGAACACCGAUGGCGUAGGCAGAUAACUGGCUCAUUCCUGACGCUCAGGCACGAAAGCGUGGGGAGCAAACGGGAUUAGAUACCCCGGUAGUCCACGCUGUAAACGAUGGAUGCUAGCUGUAAGAGGUAUCGACCCCUCUUGUAGCGAAGCUAACGCGUUAAGCAUCCCGCCUGUGGAGUACGGUCGCAAGACUAAAACAUAAAGGAAUUGACGGGGACCCGCACAAGCGGUGGAGCGUGUUCUUUAAUUCGAGGCUAAGCGAAGAACCUUACCAGGGCUUGAAAUCCUGCGAAGGUUUGCGAAAGCAGACCGUGCCUUCGGGAACGCAGUGACAGGUGCUGCAUGGCCGUCGUCAGCUCGUGUCGUGAGAUGUUGGGUUAAGUCCCGCAACGAGCGCAACCCUUGUGUCCAGUUGAAUUUUUCUGGACAGACUGCCCUGGUAACAGGGAGGAAGGAGGGGAUGAUGUCAGGUCAGUAUUACCCUUAUGCCUGGGGCUACAAACACGCUACAAUGGCCGGUACAAAGGGCAGCCAAGUCGCAAGACGGAGCAAAUCCCAUCAAAACCGGUCUCAGUUCGGAUAGCAGGCUGAAACUCGCCUGCUUGAAGUCGGAAUCGCUAGUAACGGUAGGUCAGCUAUACUACUGUGAAUACGUUCCCGGGUCUUGUACACACCGCCCGUCAAACCAUGAAAGUCGGGGGUACCUGACGUGUGAGCUUCGCCUCGCCCUAAGGUAAACUCGAUGAUUGGGGUU